AUUCUCCUACAAAAAAAAAAAAAGUACAUUUUUAAGAUAGAGUUAAUCUUGCAGGUAAAAUACACCUGUCUGCUUCCGUGUGUAAUCAGUCAAAAUUUAAUUGUGGUCCCCUAGUAGAAUCCAGAUGUAAUCCUCAUUCUUGUUAGUAUAGAGAGACUUCCUGACAUAAUGCAGUGAUACACUAACAAAAUAUGUAGACACUGAAAAUGAAUCAUGGGAACUUUUGUAAAUGCUUAAAAUAAAUACAUAUCCACAGCUUUCAAUGGUGUACUCCAGGUUCAAUUGAUAGAAAUAGUUUUAAGAUGACACCACUGACAGGGAAGAUGAGAAGGAAAGAUAGAGAAUUUAAGCUGUUUUGUUUCUUGAGAUGUGCAGAAUGAGAUUGCCAGAACACUUGCUUUUCCGUGAAUGAUUUAAACCACUAAAACAGAGCAUUGAGACAUAGCUAAAGUAAGAAUUUAAGAGGCCAAGUCUGGAAGCCAUCCCCAUCCACCAAUAUUGUCUCCAUCCUCAGUGACGAAUUUGUAAUGCUUCUGAGGAAGCUGACGAGUAUCCUGUACCACCGGAAAUAUCGGGAAGUUUGUGUUAAAAACUUAGUGAUCACUUUUCAAGCGUUUUUACACAUCUUUUAAUAUCAGUGACAGUGAAUUAUGGGGAGAGGAGAAGGCAUGAGCCAGGACCUUUUUUAAUUUCCCUUGGUUUAAAAUGACAACUAAGGGAUGAGUAAAUGGAUAGAAGGGAUUUUUAUUAUAACACCUGUGGAAAAAAUCCUUUCCAUAAAUUAUUUUGUAUACCGUAUGAAGACCUAAUGUAAGUUUUCAUAUUCAAAUCCAAUAUCAGACUUCAUCUAUUUACUAUUUAUUGUGUAACACCACACAAAAUAUAAUUUCUUAUUUUUGAUAUAAAUGUUCUUUAUUAUCAUAGUGGUAAAGUCCCAGCAUGCAGUAUUUACUGAGGUUAUUUUUUAUGGCAAUCAUAAUAUGAACUAUACCAUUUCUGCUUGGAAUAGCAGCGGUCAGCACUACUAGAUUUCCACUCUUAUCUUGGCUCAUUAUACAAUAUCAGGCAAGUUACUUAACUUCCAUAGACCUCAGCCUCCUCGUGUGAGAUUGAAUGUAUAAACUAUACAAUUACUGUAUCUCUUUAAGUUUAUAGAAAUAGCAUUACAGAAGUAUAAAAAACUGUAAAUGACCCAGGGUAUUUGCCUAAAUAUUUCUUCAUAACCAAGCAGGUAUUCCUGAUACUAACACCAAGCUCAGGAAAGAUCAAAGAAUGAUCAAUGAAGAGUUCAAUGUCCCUAUAAGCUUAUGUGCAAUUCAAGCGUUCAUUCAGCCAAUGUAUGGGGAUGUAUAAUCUGCUAGACAUAUGAAGCCCCAAGUUUUAUAUGUUCAAUUCUGAUAUAUGUUGCUUAAAUCAGGGGUUGGCAGACUUUCAAAAGUGACUCUAUUGGUAACAUCGUUCUUCUGAACAGUAGUAAUUAUUCUUUUGAAUGCUGGUAAGUGCAAGCAAGAGGAUAGUUGUGAAAAUGAAGACUAGUUUUUUACCUUAUAUUGUAUAUUCUGGUGUUCCAAGAAAGAAACCUCCCUAAUGCUGGAUUCCUGUGAAAUCAGUGGGCUCUUUACUUGUCUAGUUGAUUGAGCCAGUUUAUGUGCAACUACUAGUAAGUUAAACUCUGUCGCAUUACCAAAACAAAAAUUGAGAUACUAUUAGGAUAAAUUUGAUCAUUUUAAUGUUUCAAUUUAACAAAUGAGAGAAACAAAAAGGACUAGUAAAAAGCAUAUGAAGAAGCAAGUCCAAAUAUGGUAAUUCACAGUUCAAAGGAGAAGGUGGUAUAUCAUCUCAAGAGCCAGCAGACCACAAAAUAAUCACAUUAAAGAUGAAUGCAAGCACUGGAAGAAAUGAUGCCAGGAAAAGGCACCAUAUGUUAUAGAUUCUGGUAUUUGUCAGAGAUAAGGAAAGAACUGAGCCUAUUCCUGGAUGGGUCUUCUAAUAGAAUAAAAUGAGAGGUUAUGCUCAGUAUAAAACUAGGUAUUUACAAAGUUUUUUCCCAUUAAGAUCUUCAGAGAUAUUUAAGUCCUAAGAAAUAUUGGUAUUGCUUAUAAGUACCUAAUUCAGGUUAGAUAAAAAAUGGUAUCUAGAAAGAGAGUGUUUAGAACAUUAUGCAUUUAAGGUGAAUAGUUUAGCUUCAUGGCUGAGCAGAGAUUCCUAAGUUCAAAUCGUGGCUGUUCCGUUUAUGGGUUGUUUGGCAUUUAUUAAGCUUCUUAAAGGGACUCUGUUCAGUUGCCUCUGCACAUACAUCAUUAACUGCUGUAUUGAGAGAAUGCUCGCAUAACCCUUAGACCACUGUGACAUAUAGAAGCCGUCCGUUUACGGUAAUUAUCAUUACUUGCAAGAAUAAGCUGCGUAUUUCUUUCCAUUGAAGGCAAGCUUAAGUGUGAAUAGCAAGCUUGUCUAGGGAACAAGAAUGAUUCUCUGCCUUCUGUUCUGUAGUGCCCGUUAUUUAAAAAAAGAGAAAUAACAAUCACCAACCACCGACCCCUUAAAAAGUGAGAUUUAGGGGUGCCUGUGUGGCUUAGUCAGUUAAGCGGCUGCCUUUGGCUCAAGUCAUGAUCCCAGGGUCCUGGGAUUGAGCCCCUGCUCAGCAGGGAGUCUGCUUCUGCCUCUUCCUCUGCUUCUCCCUGCUUGUGCUCCCUUGCGCUCGCUCGCGCGCUCUCUCUCUGUCAAAUAAAUAAAUACUCUUCUUUAUAAAAAUGUGGGAUUUAUACCAAACAUACAUAUGUGCCUAUGUGCAUUUAUGUGUAUGUUUGGGUAUGUGUGUGUGCUUGUGUACAUACAUACAUACAUACCACAGCCUGGGAGAUUGAACUUCUUAUAUCUAAUAACUAUUCCAAAAUGUCAGGACCUAGUCAGGUGUUAUGUAUGCAAAUGGUGUUUAUUUACAGAAUUUAAUUUUUUUUUACAUUUCAAAUUACUGUUACUGCUUUUUCUACUUGCAAAUCAAUUACAAUAACCCCUUGGCUUUAGCAAACUGAGUUAUUAUAAAGGACUCUGGGGCUUCGUGUCAAGUAGUAAUAGGAGCCCAUGUACAGCUCAGCUCUUCAGUGGAUGUAAGGUACUUAACUAUUAUUGAAUGAGCCUAUAGAUCACCCAGUAUCCACAUCACAGUAUGGUAGUCUCUUUCUCUAUCCUUCCUCGCAAAUGCAGUAGCUCUGUGUUAUUAGUGUAUCUUGUAUCUGUGUAGAAAAACGGCCCCCAAAGAAAGCUGAUUGCUAAUCUAGACCUGGGCUGUCCAACAAGGUAGCUGCUAACCCCAGAGCACUUGAACUGUGGCUAGUCCAUUUGAGAUGUGCUGUAGGUGUAAAAUGCAGAGAUUUCAAAUACUUGGUAUGAACAAAAGUGAAAAAAAUCUCAUUAAUAAUUUUUAUUAAGAUUACAUGUAUGUGAUAAUAUUUUGCAUAUAUUGGGUUAAAUAAAAUAUAUUAUUAAAAUUAAUUUCAUGGGAGGCACCUGGCUGGCUCAGUCAGUAGAAUGUGUGACUUGAUCUAGGGGUUGUGGGUUCCAACACCCCGUUGAGUAUAGAGAUUACUUAAAAAUAAAAUCUUUAAAAAAACUAAUUUCACCUGGUCUCUAAAAAACUUUCUGUAAUGUGGCUUUUAGAAAAUUUAAAAUUACAGAUACGGUCCCCAUUCAUGGUUCACAUUAUAUUUCUAUUGAAUAGCACCGAUCUCGACAGAAGUGACAAGAAAGAAAACAGCUAAGAAAAUAAUUCUUAGAAAAAUGAUAAAAAGUAUGAAAUUUAAAGUGAUAAAUAAUAACUUCUAUGAAUAAGUCCACCAUAGUCAGCAAUAUCCUUGUGUUCCCCCCAAAAAAGAUUUUGAAUAUUUCAUAUAGUAUUCCAGUCAGUGCAAAAUUGUUUACCAAAUGAGAAUUAAAACUUUAGCAAACUAGAGCUGUUAAUGGAAGUCAGAUUCUAGGAGAGGCAAGAAAACUGAAAACAUUUCUAUAAAGUGAUGGGGUGAAAGCAGCAAUGAGAGUAUUUAUUUUAGUCAAUUUUCUAAGGGAAAAGUAUAUCUUAUGGUGAUAUUAAUAAAUUUGGGGAUUUGUGACGAUCCUAGAUGCAUUUGAAUGUCAAGAAUAUAAUGUGGUUUUCCCUAGUAUCUUUUAAUUUUAUAACCUUUUUUUAACCUCAAGACAUCAAAGCUUAGAAUACAGUAGUCCCCUCUUACCUAUGGGGGAUAUGUUCCUAGACUCCCAGUGGAUGCCUGAACCCACAGAUAGUACAAUACCCUGUAUAUACUGCUUUUUUUUCCCUAUAAAUACAUACCUAUGAUGAAGUUUAGUUUGUAAAUUAGACACAGUAAGAGAUGAACAACAAGAACAAUAAAAUAGAGAAAUUAUGACAAUAUACCGUAAUAAAAGUAAUGUGAAUGUGGUCUCUCUCUCUCAAAGUGUAUUAUUGUACUGUACUCACCCUUCUUCUUGUGAUGGUGUGAGAUGAUAAAGUGCCCAUGUGACAGGAUGAGGUGAGGUGAAUGAUGAAUGACAUAGGCAUUUUGAUGUAGCGUUAGGUUACUACUGACCUUCUGAAUAUAUGUCAGAAGGAGGAUCAUCUGCUUCCAGACUGUGGUUGGCCACAGCUAACCGAAACUGCAGAAGGAGAAACUUCGAAUAAAGGGAGAGGCUACUGUAUCUCAUUAACUCUUUCAAGGUUGCACAGCAGUGUUGAGCUAUACUAGGAAUCCACCCCUGUGUGAUUUCCAGGCUCCUGUGACAAAAUAUAUCCUUGAGACCUUGGUCCCUGGAACUACUCUGCAAAAUAAUGCUUUUAUGCUCAAGUAGUUUUCAGAAAAGCUGCAUAUUCUGUUUCCCUGUGGAACAUUAUCCAUUCGUUAGCAUAUUAAAGGCACUGGGAAGUACUGAAAAUCUAUUGAACUUUGUUACAUUUUUUUCUCAAACUUACUUUACCACAGAGCACCUCUUCCCCUUCAUGUGCAUUUAUAUAUCACAUAUCAGCUGUAUAUGCCGGAACUCAUCUCGAGAACAAGACUUGGAAAUGCUGAAAUAUAUUCAGCUGUUUCCUAUUAUCUGUCAUUGUUGAUUUUUAUUAUGAAUUACAAGUGAAGGUGACUUUGAGAAAAUAUAAAAUGUUCAGGACGAUGUAUCAUGUCAUGUUCAGAUGGCUCCCUUCUAGCUUGAUCAGAAAAUCAAACCUGGGAUUUAAAAAUACACUUAGAUGCAUUUCUUAGUUAUAUCCAUAGCAUGUGAUCCAGAGACAUUCAAAGAAAGCUGUAUUUAGACUCAUCGCUGUCUAGGAGUCUGUUUUCAGGGGACAUAGGUAGGGUUUGCUUCUAAUAAGAUUACACUUCUAAGUAAGAACUUGGGACUUGAAGAAGCAUUGGCAACAUAACAAAUACAUCAUUGCCAUCAGAAGUGUAAUGGUCCCACAAUUGGUAUUGAUUACCUAAUGCCAAAAGUUUCAUAAUGUAUUUCCUGGUUUACAUUAUUUUUUAUUUUAUGACUUUUCUUCUAUAAAUUGUGCAAAAAAUGCCAUCAAGGAUCAUGAAAACAGACUGUUGUCAAGAGUUCCUACCGCAGUGAGAAAUUUGAAAGGGUUCAAACAAAAAGCAAAAUCUUGUUACUUAGCUAUUCUAUAUUUGGAAAUUGAGCAUUUCUCAGAGGCACUUCUGUCUCUGGGACCUCGGGAGCUGCAUACUUACCGUGGAGUUCCUGAUUAGUAUCCUGGUCACAUUCCUGUCCUGUCUACCUGACUUUGAUUAUCUUGGGUUCAGAACAUGAUCCUCCAGCUUCCUCCCAGAAAGAAACCAUUUAGGAACACAAACUCAGUGGUAACAAGUUUCAAGAGUUAAUGACAUGCAUUCUUCCAGCCCUGCUUCAUCAGACAUUCUUUUGAGAUAGCCAGCUUCUUUAGAUUUGACACUUCAGUGAAUCCUGAGAUACACUAAACAAGGAUAUGAGAUUACUGAGCCCUUGGUUUCCUUGUGCAAAGUGCAGUUCACUGAGAAGACUGUUUUCACCAAGCCAUAGGCUAUUAUACAGCAGAACACCUUUGCACUCAUGAAAGACUGAUUGGGAUUAAGAACCUAGAUGCUAGCUUUGGAUCCUGUUUGUACCGCACCAUGUAGCCUUGAUCCUUAUCUUUGUCUCUGUGAAGUAGGGCUAUAUUUCUCUUUCCUCAUCAGCUCAGAGGUUUUCUGUGAGAGGUACUCAAAUGAGGUUUGUUUGUGAAAUAACAUAGGAAUAUAAAGUUUUAUCAUGUGAUACAACAUUUGCUGGUGGAGGGCGCCUGGGUGGCUCAGUUGGUUGGGCGACUGCCUUCGGCUCAGGUCAUGAUCCUGGAGGCCCGGGAUCGAGUCCCGCAUCGGGCUGCCUGCUCGGCAGGGAGCCUGCUUCUCCCUCUGACCCUCCCCCCUCUCAUGCUCUCUCUCUGGCUCAUUCUCUCUUUCAAAUAAAUAUAUAAAAUCUUUAAAAAACAAAAACAAAAACAAAACAAAAAAACAACAUUUGCUGGUGGGCAUCAUAGAUUAUGGAACCUUAAAGAAUCCUUGAGAGAUUGUCUUAAACAUUCAUGUGAAAUUAUAUAUAAAACCAGUGGUUCUCCUGAUUUUUAACCUAUAAAAUCUCCCAUGACUCUUCCUCACAACAUCCCUCCCCACUACCAAAAAAAAGUAGUUUACAGUAAUGUGUUGUGUAACAUGAAUGAAGAUGGGAAUGGAGGUAAGAGGUAAGAGAGUCCAGAAGAUGGAGGAUUCUCAUGCCAUUCCUAGAUUUAAGCUCAUCAUCCUAUGACCUCUUAAAAUUUCUCCAUGCCCUCUCAGAAUUGCCUAAGAAUCACUUUAGAGGCAGAAAAAAAAUGACCUUAUGAAAUCAUUUUGAAUGUUCUGGUAGAAUCAUGUGCAGGUCCUAUUGAGUUCAUCUAAGAGAGGCAUAGUUCUGGUCUCUGGAGUCAGACUGGGUUUGGUCUGUUGCCUACUAGCUGAUUCCUUCACUUACUAGCUGUGAACCCUCUCUCGGCUUCAGUGUCCCCAUCUGUAAGUGGAAAUAACAGUAGUACCCACCUCAUAAGGUUUCUGUGGAAAUUAGUGAGAUAGUACUGUAAAAUGCUCAAUACAGUGCCUGGCAUAUGGCAAGUACCCCAGAAACAUUAGCUGUUACUACGUCUGCUGCUGCUGUUUGCAACCAUCAUCAUUAAAGACAGGGCUUUAUGAAUGCCCUUGACUUGUACUAAUUCCUUUAAAAAAUACCAGUAGCUCCAUUAAGAGACUAUAAAAGGGCUAAUAAUAAUUGCAAAUGACAGUAGGCUCUUGGAUACUAAAUUCUGUUCUGGCAAAACUGCAACUUGUUUGAAAUGUUCCCUGUAUUAUAAAAAUGAAUAGAGAAUGAAUAAUGGCUGUUACCUCUUUUUUUGGCAAGUCAACACUUCUGUAUUCAGGGUUAAGAGAAGUUUAUAUAGGUGAUAUUUUUUUCAAGAUACUGUUUAGGAAACAAAAUAAUUAACUUUGGCUAAACUCAAGAUACUAUUCACCAAGUCUGUGAUUAUACUUGAAGAGAGUAACUUGGAUUCUAAGGGUCCUACACCUCUUAUAUUUUCUUUUUAUUCAAAGAAUAGUAGUCUACCAUAACUGCUGAAGUCAUUCUCAAUACACACCUAUGAACAAAUGAAAUUCAUACUUUUCUGUUUACUUCUCAGAAUAUUAAAAUUAAUUUUCUUGAUGAUUAGAAGUGCCCUUUUAACAGCAUUUUAGAAUUUUAAAAAAUUUUCUUUAGUAACAGUAUUGCUUGAAUAUGUAAUCUUAAAAUUCCUAUCGAAUGCAUUAAAUACAGUCUGCAAGUGUCAGGAAAAUAGCAUAAAUAAUGCAAAACUUAACAUAGAUUUUAUGCCCGCUUCAAAUAUAUAAUAAAGAUGAGCUACAUCUUAAGGAUGGAGAAAAUGAGGCUCUUAAAACCUGUAAACCCUUAACGAAUCCAGUCAUUGAUGUGCUCGCCUCAUAUAGGUGCAACUUAUUCUAAAAAUAAUUGGGAGAUAAGUGUCAACUAGUACUCUUUUAACAAAAGGGAAGACAUUUCACUUUAAUAGCAUCUUUCUGGGUGCUAUCUCAAUGUAGGACAUUCUAGAUUCCCACUCCAACUUUAGAUAGGCUGCUAGAUUUUUAAAGAUAAGAUUCCUAUUUUUUAGAUCCAUAGAUUUAAAAUACAUACAAUUUAUUGUCCCCACUUUGUUUUUAAUUUUUAAUAUAACUACCCCUAGAACUAAUACAGUGUUUUUUCUUAAGAUUUUAUUUAUUUGUCAGAGAGAGAGCACAAGCAGGGGGAGCGGCAGGCAGAGGGAGAGAAGCAGGCUCCCCGCCAAGCAGAGAGCCCGAUGCGGGGCUCGAUCCCAGGACCCUGGGAUCACGACCUGAGUCGAAGGCAGACACUGAACCGACUGAGCCACCCUGGCGUCCCAGAACUAAUACAAUGUUAAUGUACCAAUCUCUGAAAUAGUUUCAAGGAAUCCUAACCUAGAAGAGCUUUCAGGAAUGGAUCAGAUUACUGGAACAGGCAGGAUUGAGGAUUAGUUUUUGGUUGACUCUGUAAAACAGCACCUGUGAAAACGAAACACUGCCAUUCACAAAUAUUACACCUAAAUAUUUUGGCCAUUAAACAUGAAAACUAACAGUAGGCAGUUUAAAAAGCACGCCCGUUUGAUUCACCCAGGAAUUGGGCAGGGGUGGCGUGGGUGGAUUCAACAGAGUGACUGACGCCGGCAGCUUGCUUUUCACAGCCCCUUCUCCCUUCUUCCUCUCUGUGCCCCCUGCACACCCCCAUGUCCGCAAAGCUGUUCUUCUUCCUAUAUAUCCCUUAGCAGAAUCUGCUGACAUAAAUUGUGAACAAAUGAAGAAGACUUCAAAGUGUAAAUAAAUCAUUAGACAAGAAUUAGUGCUUUUUUCUUCUCUCAGGAGCAUUUGCAUGUUGACAUGAACUGAGCACUGAGUGAACAGACUAAAUCCCUCAUAGGGCUGCAUCCUGUGUCAGGCACACAGGACUUCUCUGUGGGCAGCAGGCUUGGCGGGCGUGCCGGAUAAUCCUCUACUAGUGAGGCUGAUAUGCUGAAGAUGGAAAAAUACAGGAAGGGAAGAGAAGGCCAAAAAAAUUAAAGGGAACAAGAUUUCGGUGUAUUAAGUCCAUUCUAUACGCCUGGCCUUGUGCUGGGCAUUUUCAGUGGUAAUGUGACUAAUUCUCACAACCGUUCUGAGAGGUGGGCAUUAUUGUCGUACGGCUCUGAAAACGGAAGUCAUGUGGGUAAGGGGCCUGCUGGCUCAUGAGGAGCUAGGUAGCUGAGGUUUGAACCCUGGGAUGCCUCGCUCUGCAGUUAAACUCUUAUGGACUAUACCUACUUCUGACAACAAGCACCAAAAAUACAUUGCCGAAAAUACGACAAUAGCCAUAAGUAGGGAUAAAGAGAAAUAAUCCAAAAAUAGCUCUGUUGAGGUUACUGAUGGAGAGGCAAAAAGAAAGGUAAGAUUUUUUUUCCCUGCAAGGGUUCCCUCUGAGGAUCGCUUUCCCUGGCUGUCUGGCUUUGUGAAAUUACACCUUCCCUGGUGGCUGGCAGCUGAGUGUGCCCUUCUUUCUGUCAAGGGCAGCUUACAGUUCAUGGCAGAGUUUAUUUGAAGCUUGUGGGUACCAAUUCCAGGCAGCAAGAUACUACUUUCAGAAACUAAAUUAGCGGGGCGCCUGGGUGGCUCAGUUGGUUAAGCGACUGCCUUCAGCUCAGGUCGUGAUCCUGGAGUCCCGGGAUCGAGUCCCGCAUCGGGCUCCCUGCUCAGCAAGGAGUCUGCUUCUCCCUCUGACCCUCACCCCUCUCAUGCUCUCUCUCUAUCUCAUUCUCUCUCAAAUAAAUAAAUAAAAUCUUUAAAAAAAAAAAAAGAAAGAAACUAAAUUAGCUUUCUUCAGAGUCAUGGCAAAAAGCGAUACAACAAAAUUGAUUACCUUAAGGGGCCUUCCCGGUUGUUUUAUUGCUUCUUGAGCCAAUUUGUUCUCCCUGUGGUGUCACUGUUACAGAGGCCGGUUCUCUUCUGUUCUCAUUUUAUGAAUUGGGAUCAUCUGAAUAUAGUCAUAGACCAUCUAGUUUAGACCAUUUUUCUCAGAAUUACAGAGACGGGGAACAUUCCAAACCAUACUUGUUCCAAAUGGCAGGGAGUGGCUUCAGAAUUUAUUUUUGGAAUCUUUUGAACUGUUUCUGAUGUUUAUGUGAAUACCGCAUCGACUGUAAGCCUACUUCUAUCUGUUCAUUAAUAAGGGUAUGGGAAGCUUAUGAUAAGACCAAAGCAGUCUGCUACCAUCUAGUUUUUCCCAUUUCCACUUUCAGGCAUGUCCCCCAUCACACAGAAAGGUAGGUGUUAAAGAAGCAAUUCUUCUUUCAUCCCUGAGAGGGAGACACUUAUAGUGGUACCACAGAAUCUGUAAAAAGAAAUAAAACAACAAAAAAAGCUCUCAUUAUUAUUCUACUUGUGUCUUUAUUUUAAGUGGAUCUUUGGGUAAAAAUGAUGAAUGCAUGUUGUAUGGUUCAACUCCAUUUACAAUCACUAAGCAUUGACCUCCCCCUCCCCUCCUUAUGGAGGCAAAAAGUAUAUGUUUCUUGAGUAACAAAGAUUAUUAGCCACCACCAUGACCCUGAGCAAGACUGUGAAAAAAAUGCAAUUCUUCCUUCCCUUCCUCCUUAGUUCCAGAGUCUGGACACUUUCCAGUCUUCUCAGGUUUCUCCUCUGCAAAAUGGUUGUUCUACUGUCUGAAGACUCCUGUUGUUGCUGUUAUUUAGGGCUGGUUCCCAUGCUCUCAGUCCAGGAAGGCAACCGGAACCCUUUACUGUUGAUAAGUGUAUAGAGCACUUAUAUUAUCCUGGCCGGGGCUGGGCUCUGAGAAAACAUCGGUGAAUAAAACAGGGAGGUUUCUUAAGGUAUGACUCCAUGAAAACAUUGGCAUGGAACUCUGCCAUACUUGCCUCAUCUUGGGGCUCUAAAUCAACAAUGCUGAUGUAACAGUUGUCAAAUGAGGUAAGCAACAGCCCAAGACUUUCCUUUCCAGUAGGUAUAGUCUCAUGGAAAAUCACCUUUGAAUCCAACAGAUGGAAUGAUGCCACUGGGUGUAGCCAAUGGGAAAAUCCUAAAGGAAGUCCCCAACUGGUCAGUCUUCUCUGCCUCACACUCUUGAACUUGGUAAAAUAUUCAAAAUGUCCUUCCUUUAGAGGAAGAUGCAGUCAAUGAUUCACCUCUUGACAGAAAGCUGCUUGUGGAAAGUGUGGCCCCACCACCGUACAAGGGCAGCAAGAUCUGCUGAGCAGAUAAACUGCCCCUUUGCGUCCUUCCAGGCCUGCACUUGGCUCAGAUGAAAAGCUCAGUCUUGCGAGCUGCCAGAAAGUGUCUGGCACAGAGCCCACCUGUUUUCUCCAGUGCCGAGUAUUCAAUUGACUCGAUUCCUCAAAGAGCUAUGUGCGGGUGAAAGUGAGGUCACUGUUGACCUUUAAUUGCCCUGAGGUUCUAAUGAUGUAAUGGAUGUGAAAGCGCUUUUUGAAAUCACAGUGCAAGUACAAGAUAACUUUUAGUCAUUAUUUCAGUACCUGAGGAGAAUGUAAAAAUAAAGAGAGCCACCAAUUUUACAAGGUCCCACAUGAGAUAGCGUUGUUUUCCCAUCUACUGCAGGCAUCUAGAACGUGUAGCUCAUCUAGGCUGUCGAUCUGUGAACCGAGUAUUGAAGUCGCUUUCCUUUGUUCUACAACAUGCCCUUGCGAUACUUCCACCAUCUGCUGUGCACAUGGGAAAUUUGUGCACUUUUUCAAACAAUGUGAGACAAAUGCUAGCUAGGUUAGCCUAGUGUUUAAAGCAUCAUAGAAUGAACUAAAAAGCAGCUGCACGUAUGUAAUACCUACUAUAUGCCAACACCAUUCUAAUGUUUUAUAUAUAGUAAGUACUUUAUUCCUAACAAUAAACAUAUGAGGUACGUACUACGAUUACCCCCAUUUUACAGAUGUGAAAACUAAAGAAUAGAGAGAUGAAGUGGUGAGUUCCAAAUCACACAGCUAGUGAACGGCAGUCAGACCUCAGAUCUUACUGGUCUGUCUCCAGAGUCUGUACAAUUAACUGCUCUACCAUAUGCUUUUAAAUAUUGGUUUAUUGGGCGCCUGGGUGGCUCAGAUGAUCAAGCGUCUGCCUUCGGCUCGGGUCAUGAUCCCAGGGUCCUGGGAUCGAGUCCCACAUCGGGCUCCCGGCUCAGCGGGGAGCCUGCUUCUCCCUCUGACCCUCUCCCCUCUCAUGCUGUUUCUCUCUCGCUCGCUCUCUAAAAAAUAAAUAAAAUCUUAAAAAAAAGAAAAGAAAAAAAAAUAUUGGUUUAUGACUAUUGUGCUAUUUCUAAUAGUAGAUGUAAGGUUUUUUUGUUAUUUAUAUUUCUUCUUUGUCUUCUUUGGAUCUAGGAUCACAUGUAAUAUGGUCCUAGAUAAAUUAAAUAAAUAAUAUUAUAUAUAAUUAAUUAAUUAAUUUAAUUAAGUAAAUAAAAAAGAUUUUAGCUCAUAAGAAACUUCUCUGAUGAUCAUACAUAAAAUAGUUUACAUUUGUAGAACAUUUAUGUAUUGUUAAAUGUUUCUCCUUAUGAUUAUCUCAUUUGAUCCCCUCAUUAGUCUUUAGAAUGCAUCGGGCUUUAUCCUCAUUUUGCAAAUGAAGAAACAUCAGAAAGAUUAAAGUUUGUUCAGCUUCACAUCACAAGUUUGUCACAUUUCUAAGGCCAGAUAUCAGAUUUCCUGGCUCUCAAUAUACAGCACUUUUUCCAGAAUGUCAUACUGUUCCCUCAUUUCUCUGUAUUAUAGUUUGAAGAAAAAAAAAGUGAGAAGUUUAAGAAUCCUAACAAAACUGGUGAACAAUUUUGUGAGAAACAUUUAGAAUAAUUUUAGAUAAUUUUAGUUCUCACUAAAGUAGAAGGUGAAAACACAUUAUGUUAACGGCAGGCUAGGUCAAGUUAAGUGCAUAUAGCUCAGUUCCGGCUUAUUAAUUUUCAUUUCUUGUCCAGCUAAUGUGAACACCUUGAGAGGACAAGUCUCGAGUGCUCUCUUGCUUUAUGCUAUUGCUUUUUUAAGGUAGCUCAUUUGUACUUGUUUAUCAUUCCCUUCCUUCACUCAGCCCCAGAAGCUGUGUUAGUAAUUAUUGACCCAGGCAAGCCUCUAAGAGGACAAAGGCAGAUAAAAUUGAAGUGCUCUUUAUGUACAAUCAAAAUGCAUUUUCCAUUUUUCAGAAGGAGCAAGGCAUUUUUAGCUGUGAGGUUCAGAAACCAUUCAGUUGUAUGAGCACUUGAGUUUCUGCUAAGAAUCACAACUCAGUUUUUCAAAAAACUUUUUUUUUGAUAUUUCAUUUACAGCCAGUUUCUUGGAGUAUCAGGGUGUAUGUGUAUAAAUUUUUCCUUUCUGUAUUAACAUGUAAGACAGGGCAGCAUAAUAAUGUAUUUAUUCAUUCAUAAAUAUUUCUCAAAGAGUUACCAAGAGUGAAGAAUAGUGCUAAAUAUAAUGGGAAAUGUUUAGAUGUAAAAUUACCUUAUCACAGGACCUGACACAUGAUAGAUGCUCCAGAAAUACUUGUUAAGCUGAAAUGGGUUAUCCUAUGAACUGUAUCCCCCUGCCUUGGUAUCUAUUCAGGAACUUAUGAAUUCAUGAAAUAUAUGAAAAUCAUAAAGGAAUUUAAGAAUCAUCUCAUAUAGCCCUUUUAUUUUUAAGAGAUGACGCAGUGGAGAACCCAGGCAAAUUGUAUGAAUUUUCCAAGAACACACAUCUAUUUGGGAGGAUACUGUUUUCAUCAUCAUGAUGUGUUUUGAGAUUACAUCUAUAUGUCAGUGUCUACGGUACAGAGCAUCAUGGGAGAGGAGCUGAUGAAUGUCCUAGAACAGUAUUACCAACUGAAAAUAAAAUCAGGGCGCCUGGGUGGCUCAGUCGUUAAGCAUCUGCCUUUGGCUCAGGUCAUGAUCCCAGGGUCCUGGGAUCGAGCCCCGCAUCAGGCUCCCUGCUCCACGGGAAGCCUGCUUCUCCCUCUGCCACUCCCCUUGCUUGCGUUCCCUCUCUAACUGUCUGUCUUUCUCUGUCAAAUAAAUAAAUAAAAUCUUAAAAAAAAAAAAGAAAAUAUAAUGCAUACCGCAAUUUUAAUUUUUUAAUAGCCGCUUUUAAAGGGUUCAAAAAGUGAAAUUAAUUUUAGAAUGUAUUUUAUUUAACUCCAUAUAUCCAGAAUAUAAUUUCAAGAUGUAAUCAAUAUAAAAAUUAUUAAUUGGCUAUGUUAAAUUUUUUUGUACUAAGUUCUCAAAAUCCAGAGUAUAUAUUAUACUUUUGACAAUCUCAGUUUGGACCAGCCAUAUUUCAAGUGCUUCAUAGGUAGGUCCAUGUGGCUUGGGGCUACCCUAUGAGACAAUAUAGCUCUAGUAUCACAGGGGUAAGAUUACUAUGCUUUUUUAAAGCUACAGUUUUUUUUUUAUUAUUGCUUAUUUUUAAAGUUUGAUUUUAAUGUAAAGGCACAAAAGUAAAAUUCUACCUAACUGACUUGACAGGAUUAAAAAAAAAAAAAUUAGAAUGACCUGUAACCAUUAGAGAAAUUGAAUCAGUACCAUUUUAACCACCCCCCUCCAAAUUAGUAAAUAAACCAGUCAUCGAAAGUAUUGACUCAGACCAUUCUACCUACAAGUUCUACCAAACUUUCAAAGAAGACGGAACUUGUACCUUUUACAAAUUGUCUCAUUUUACAAGUGACUAUCCUUAAGUAUACAGUUUCCUUUGCAGUACCAGUAGAAGCUUAAAUUGUUAACUAAUUUUUUAAAUGUGAUCAGACAAUAAUCUUAGUUAUCCAUACUGUCUAUCAUUAUUUUUCACUUCCUUCUGAAAAUGGGCGAUUAGUGCUCGCUUCGGCAGCACAUAUACUAAAAUUGAAAAUGGACGAUUAGUUUUAUUAUGGAUAAAUGGCAGGAUGCUGCUGUUUAACAGACUGCUGUAUAAAUAAGCCCUCCAUGCCUAGCACUUCAUAGUAAAUGAAAAAAAAAGAAGAAAGAAAGUAGGAAGGAGUUAUCUGUCAGAGGAAUCUAAGCUUGCCAAUUAUUUUUAGAGAUCUAUAGACCAAAAAUUGAGGUUUUCUCUUUCUCCCUAUUCUUCAAAUUCCUGUUUCUAAUGAGAAAUUCUGCAGCAGUAGAGUCUACUGCAUUAUUAGAUGUUCAGUCCACAAAAAGCUAAUGUAAUUGUGGGUUUGGCUGUCACCUUGACCUUUUCUUGGAUCUUUGCUCAGAGCUUAGGUGAAUAUGUUGGGGAGGCUUUCCUCUUUUACGUUUGUCAGCUUUUGAAGUAAAACCAGAGCUGGCAUGAGAAAGAAAGGGAAAGGCAGGAAGCAGAACAGAAAAGCCAGGUGACAUUUCUCUAGGCUUCUGAAUUUGCUACAGUAUUAUCCCUGUGAUCAUUUCAUACUCAGCUUUUCAAACGGCUAUCACAGUUUCAUUUUAUUUUCUGGCCCAGGGGAUAAAUCAGUAGACUUCUACAGCCUUUUCCUCAAACGCUGACUCCAGUUCUCUACAUGGUACCACAUUAAUAAUGUCUUCCUUUUCAGCUGUCAUCAGGCCGUGCAGCCUUCCAAGAUGUUUGGUUGUUUCUUUUUUUUUUUUUUUUUAAUUCUUAGUUCUUUUACAGUUCCUAUAUACAAGCAUGGAUUGUUAUUAAUAUCAGUGCAGUGAGGAAGAUAGACAAGUGUGUUAGAAUCUUUGUAGCUGUAGCAGAAAACUGCAACUCAGCUGGCUUAAAACAUAAGCAACCCCAAAGUGGGAAACUCAAGUCACUAUAAGUAAUUCAAUGACAUUAUGAAAGUCCUGUCCUUCGUUAAUUUUUGCCACCCUCAAGUACUGGUGAUUUUUUUUUUUUUUUUUUGGCUUGUUCCCCCAUGAUCUCAAGAUAUCUGUUACAGUUGUAGCUAUCAAAUUCAGAUAAUUAUGAGAGGUUUUAAAAAAAAAAGCAUCUUUCUUUUUAAGUCUUCUUUUAAGAUGAAAAAACAUGUUUCCCAAACAGACUUCCUGUGUCUGACUUCUCUUCAACAUCUCAUUUUUCAGAAUUGUAUCACAUGUCCUAACCAAUUACUACCGCAGAAAUGAUACCUCCGUGAUUAGUUGGGACAGUUGGGUUUCCCUCAUGGGAGCUGGGUCUGAGACUCGCCUCACUGUACGUACAUGCAAUGGUGUGUAGAUAUUUGAAUCGUAUUAAGGGUCUAGUUAGAAGGAGAAAUGGCUCUUGAUUAGGACCCCUCUAGAGUCAGCCACAAUGGAAUCAGAAUAGUAUAGGGUAAUAAGUGCUAGGGGAAGCAUCUAAGUUCAGGACACUAUAGAAACACACAAGAAGGACAUCUAGCUAGGGUUACGAGAACAAGAGAGAGCGAGUCAGAGAGAGUGGUCUCCUAAAGAAAGUUACCUGACCAGAGAAAUAAAGGGUGAGAGAAAAUAACCAAGGGAAGGGUGGUGGGAGGAGAAAGAAAGUAUCAGAUGGAAUAUCACAUGCAAGUGACUGGGGAUAAGAGAGAACAUAGUGGGUUUGGGAAAAUGCAAAAAAUUCAGUUUGCCUAAGGUAUAGAGCACAGGAGGGCAUCGAUCUGAAAUCAGAGUGGAGAAGGAUACUAAGCUAAAUAAUAAGUCUAAUAAGUCAUAUAGAAAUUUAUACCUCAUUUUGCUGCAGUGGGGAGCCAAUAAAAGAUUUUAGGUAGCAAAUGACAUAAUCAGAUUUGCACUCAAAAAAAAAAAAAUCUCUUUAGCUGCUGUGAGAAAUUGGUUUGUAUAUGAUUAAGAGUGGAGGUAGGAACGGGUGAGAAUUAAUUACAGUAAUCCCAGGGGUAAAAAUGGUGAUGCAGCUGCAGAGAGGUGGAUAGAUUUAAUUGGUAUUUGGGAGUUUUGACUAAACAAGACUUGGUUAAUAGGAGAGGAGAGAAGUGGAGAUCCAUAAUUACUCAGAUUUUUGACAUGGCACCUAGAAGGAUAGAGACGAUGUUUAUUUAGGAUAACAAAGGAGAAGCCAAUUUGGAGGGGAGAUGGACUAAUUUACAUUGUACUUAAUUAGUUUGAGAGGCCUAUUCUGUCUGAAAUUCAAGAGAGAUAUUCCUGUUCUUAGAGUACUUUCAAGUGCUAAGGGAUAUGUUCCCCAGUAAGUGAUGUAGACCUUUCUAGAGGUACUAUAUAAUUUAUAGCUAAAGAUGCAAAGUAAAAGAAAAAAGUCAGAUAUGGUUUAGAGAAGAAGGAAAUGCUUCUUCCUGAGGGAUAAAAGAACGGGAGAAUCUGAAAUUAGACAAAUGGGAAUUGUAGAGGGAUGGGAGCACUGCACUCUCUACGAGGCAUGGCAAUUUCCUGGGUUGCUAGGGCAAGUUCGAAUGGGUACAAUAAAAUGCAGUUUGUACUGGUCAGAACACCUAGGAUCCCAGGAGAAAAAAUUUAUACAUAUUACCUAUAAUGAUCUUUAUUGCAAGGUGUGUUAGUUAGCUAUAGAUACAGUAAUGCUACAUAACAACCAACCAUAAAAUAUCAGUAGCAUGUAACAAUAAAGCAAUUGUUUUGUGCUCCUGGGUCUGCUAGUGGGCUGGGGUGGCUCUGUUUCAGGCUGCAGGUUAUCUUCAUGUUUGUUCCUCCUGUUUCUCCUUCUUCAAUCCCUGGUUUCCCAGGGACUGUUCUUCUCAUGGCAGAGUUGAGAACUCCCAGAGUGGCAAGUGGAAACAUUUUAUAACUUGUAGGACCUCAAUUUGACAUAGGCAGUAUCAUUCAUUCCCACAUUCUGUUGGUCAAAACGUACAAUAUGGCCAAGCCCAAUAUCAUUCAGGGAGUUGGUGGGGAGGGAGAGGACAGGGAAGGCAGAGAAUAAUUUGCUGAAUAAUAAUUUGCUAAAUAAUAAUCUAAUCUGUGACACAAGAAUAGAUAGAAACUUGAAUUGUCAUGGGAUUUGACCAUCCGCCACACAGUUCCUGGAACAUCAGGGUUCUUAACUGGGGAGUAUCCAUUUGGCUUCUUAGACUAAAUCAGGAGAGCAACCAAAUUUGAGUGGCCUCCUUUUUUUGCAUAUACUUAUGCUUUCCAAAGGGAUGACAGGGGCCCAUAAACUGCUUAUGGAGCUGAUUAAUUAUUGGUCAGAAUCAGAAUCAGAUGCUUCAUGACCAUCUCAUGGUCAUGAUUAGUUUCUUUUAGUUUCAUGCAACAGUAUCAGUCUAUUCCUCAAGGACUGGUUAGAGGUUAAUAUUACCUCCCUCACCAGCACUACAUGUGAGUGAUAAGAACUAAAACAUUUAAAAAAAUGAUUUCACUAUUUUCUUUAAUAUGUAGUUUCUGGACUUCUUCCAAAAAUGUAGCACAUUUGUGAAAGCCACGCUAAGGCCUUGUGCUGGUUAUUAUACUAAUAAUGUGACUUAAUUAUCUCUGAGAUAAUAUGUGGCCCGUGGAAGUGACAUAAUUUUCCCAUCAUGGCACAGCUAAGUUACGUAUGUUAGACCUGUAGAUAUCCUCCAACUAUGCUGUCUCUAAAGCUCUCCUUAAUUGCUUCAUAAGCAAGAGAUUUUAGCCAUUUUUGAGUUCCUAAGUUGAAGAUAUGUGACUAUAAUUGCAUUAAUUUGUCCAUAAAUUCUCAAGCCCAAAUAGUCUCAUGGUGCUUGAGUAGAACUGUCUGUGCGUGUGUGUCCUAUUUUUAGAAGAUCAUCUUUUAAUAUGGAUACUGGUGACAUAGUUAUAAAAUACGCCAGGGGAGCUCACUUCUUGUCUCUCUUCACUUCUGAAACUCUGCUCAGCACUUUUCUCAGUUCGUUCUGUGGCUUCUGUGCUGCUAGCAAUGACCAGGGACUCAAGAAAACCACAUCCAGUGAAAAAAAGUGGCCUCUUUCCAGGUAUAGUUCUGUCCUGAGAUUCCUUUUCACAUCAGAGACGAUAACGUGUGACUGCUUCUCUUCUCUCCAUCCCAUAGACAUUUCAGAACAAAGCUCUUGCUUUUCUUUUAUGAUUACUUUUCCAUUGCAGACUUUUCUUGGUGUUGGAGGACUUAGAGAGAGAAGAAAGAACAGGGGAAACACGAAAACAAGAAGAUGAGCGAGAGGCCAUAUUUAAAAAAUAUAUUCAUGUUUAAUCUUUCAGAAAUUAAAUCUUCCUGAGAUCCUUGAAUAUUAGCUGUUCCAGGGAUUGUGCUUGAAAAAUUAGAUUCCAGCCCUGAACAUAAAUAUCUUGUACAUCUGAGGAUUCAUCACUGCACCUGUCAUAGGAGGAGGUCUUAGUCAAAGCCAGUUCCCCAGAGUGCUCUCCCAGGGAGUGGGAAAGAAGACGUAGUCUAGGUAACAUAGCAGAUGUAUUUUGAGAACCCAUGAGGAUGCCAUGGGAUGGAUGAAUAAGAGUAGAAGAGAAGUCAGAAGAGGGUAUGAAAGCGCAAUUGACAUAAUGGGAACUGAACAAGGUACAGAUAGAGUCAGGUCAAGUGUAAUAUGAACAUUGUGAGACUCUGUGUUCCGUCCGUGGGUUAAGGACUUUUCCUGCUGGGGUGAGUCCUUAAAGCAGCAGACUUUGGAAAUUGAAGAACUUUAUUUAUUUGCUUCAAAUAAUUUAUCAGUUGAAAAACUGGUGGACUACUUAAUUGGUUUGUCUUGAUGAAAAAUUACCAAAUUCAACAAAUUACUGCUGCUUGGUUGGUGGGUUGCAUGGGGAGUGAAUAAACAAAAAGUCAGGAAGGGAAGGGGGAGGAUGGAAAGAAAUGAAGGAGGAAAGGAAGCAAGGGAAGGAGAUCAGGAAGGAAAAUAGGACUCUGAUUUUACUGUUUCUGAAAGCCACACUUUAUCAUUAAUAAAUUAUAACCUCUAAUCAAAUCUCAUACUACUUUUUUCAAUCUUCACGACUUAGAUUCAUCACAUCUCAAUGGUUUUUGGAUUUUAAAUAGGUGAUUAGCAAUGUUAGCAUCUCAAAGUUUUUUUACAGGUUGCUGAAGACAAAAUACGGAUAACAAAUUAUAUCAAAUAAGUAUAAUUGUAAGUAAGUGCUUUUAGUUAAAAUUCAGUAAGUUGUUAUGAUUAAAAGUAUUUCACCCUACUUUCCCCUUGUUUAAAGGCGUCUCAUAAAUAAUAUCUUACAGAGUGUCUGUAAAGUCUGCAAACACAGAUAAGUUUAUAUUUUAAUAGACUAAAGAUGUCCUUUUUGAUAUUAUGUGUAGUCACCUGUGUUUCCAGAUUAAGUGUCAAGAAUUGUUCUAAGUGCUUUAUAUGUGUUAAUUCAUUUAGGCUGCUUGGUUAGUAUUUCUGUAGCCUUAUCAACACUUCACCCCUAAAAGUGAGUUUCCCUACACACACACACACACACACACUUGUGGAAUUCUAAAACAUGAGAGCGCUCGAUUGGCCACAAAGAUUCAGAAAGAUGUGCUUGGGGAUGUCAUCAGGACUAUCCUGGCAUUUAUGCGUGGGGACCACAGUUAUGUGAUUGGCUCCUCACCAAUCCUUGGCAGUAGUUUUAUUUCAUUGCUUUCUAAGUGGGGGGUGGAUUUUUGUUUUAUUUUACUCUUUGAUGUUCCUCUUCAUACCUACAGAAACGGCUCAGGGUUUAGAAGGUAUCCUCCCACCUCUGCAUUUGGAAAAAUACGUUUCGACACCGUCUGAUAUGGAAAGUUUCAAGUCAUUGAAAACUUUUCUAUACGGUUUGUAAAAACAAUUUCAAAACAGAGCACCUUUUGCUUUCCCAGCAGAAUUUUAGCUCUGCUUGUGUAGUAUUGCAAGUGCAUCAACUAUAUAGUCAUUAAAUCUAAGAGACAAAACUAUAUAGCAUACCGUAAGUAUAGGUCACCUCAGAAAUAUUAGUAACGUCCUUUUACACAGACUUGGCUGGUAUGUUACCCACACAAAAGAAAAAACACGGGAUCAUGGCUGAAGUUUAUAUAGGACCAGCCUAAGGCUGGCCAUAGCUGUGUCAUUUCCAUGAUUUCUCCCGGUCAGUGGAAAAUUACUCUCAGCUGAGCCGGAGUCUACAGACUGAGCAAAUGUCUGUUUCCUUUUCACAACUGAGUGUUUGAAACUUUUCAAUUGGUAAAAUCACCAUUAAAGGUCAGAGAUUAGUUUUUCAUGCAUGAUGGAUUCCAUUUGCUUUAAAAGUAUUAUACCAGGAGGGUAGACUUUUUUUCCUGAGUUUAGAGCCAAAUUAGAAUUCAAAUAUUCACAGUUUGAAUCAACUCCAAACCAUUUCGUUUCAUUUAUUUUCCCUUGGCAAAAUGAUAUUUUUUAAAAAUGGGGUGGAAGGGCCUCUGGAAAAAAAAUGUAUACAUAUUCUCCCAUAUUUGAAAUUAGCAUGCAGUCUAAGGGUACUGAACACCAGUCCCACAAUUGAGUUUAACCUGUCUUUCAAUAGAUUCUAAGCACUUUGAAAGCAGGGACUUUGCUUUUUUUAGAUAAAAUACCCUUCAUAUUUAAUAACUUGUUCUCUUUUUUCUGUGUGUUGUCUUAACUAACGACUGCCCAAAAUGAAUAUAAAGACUAUAUUCUUCCAUCUUCUUAAAAUAAAGGAAGAAUUUCCCAACUUCAUGACCGGUGAUAAAAGAUCAUAAAAAUUAAUCUAUAUGUAGAUUGAGCUAAAAUAUUAUAACAUCUACAGCCAUCUUGUGCAGAAAGAGGCUAGGCUUACAUAGUUUAUUUAUUUUUUUAAGAUUUUAUUUAUUUAUUUGACAGAGAGAAACACAGCGAGAGAAGGAACACAAGAAGGGGGAGUAGGAGAGGGAGAAGCAGGCUUCCUGCGGAGCAGGGAGCCGGAUGCGGGGCUCAAUCCCAGGACCCUGGGAUCAUGACCUGAGCAGAAGGCAGUCGCUUAACGAUUGAGCCACCCAGGCGCCCCUUACAUAGUUUAUUUCGUAAACACACUUGUUAAUUACAAACACACACAUACACCCAAUUGUAGAACAAGAAGUUAAAGGAAAUCUUGCCUAUCGUUCUAACACAAGUACACAAUAAUUAUAGUUAACAUGUUUUUAUUUUAGUUUUUUAAAGAUUUUAUUUAUUUGAGAGAGAGCAUGAGCUGAGAGAGGGAGAAGCAGACCCCCUGCUGAGCAGAGAGCCUGUCACAGGGCUUGAUCACAGGACCCUGAGAUCAUGACCUGAGCGAAAGGCAGACGCUUAACUGACGGAGCCACCCAGGUGCCCCUAGUUAACAAUUUUUUAAACAUUUCUUUAUAUAUUUUAUUUUUCCAUGAAUUAUAAUCAAUCUACAAAUGUACUUUUUGGCUCUGCUUCAUUGAUUACAAGAGAAUUCCCCUCGUUGAGAAUCUUUUUUGUAUUUUAAUGACUUCUUUGGUAUGUUUCAGUUAAACAAUUUCAGUUUAACUCUACUGUGUAUAUUCUGUAAGUUGCUGCCCCUCAGGGAACAGACGGA